rfam:Triticum urartu cultivar G1812 contig985794, whole genome shotgun sequence.
CAUCUACUCCCUCCGUUUGGAAUUACUUCUCGCGGAAAUGAAUGUAUCUAGACGUAUUUUAGUUCUAGAUACAUCCAUUUCCGAGACAAGUAAUUUCGAACGGAGGGAGUACAUC